rnacentral:snRNA from 1 species
AGCUUUGCACAGUGGCAGUAUCAUAGCCAAUGAGGUUUGUCUGAGGUGCAAUUAUUGCUAAUUGAAAAAUUUUCCCAAUACCCCGCCAUGAUGACUUGAAAUAUAGUCGGCAUUGGCAAUUUUUGACAGUCUCUAUGGAGA